rnacentral:lncRNA from 1 species
AAUCCAGGAAGCUUCGGAGGUGAUGUUCCGGAUCGGUUGUUCCGUCAAACUUCUCUAUUUGCGGGGGAGGCCGGUCGGGCAUAGGAGCCUGCAUGAUAGCCUCCGUGAAGGGUAGCAGGUCCGGUGAGUGAGGAGGUCCCCUGUUCUGUGCCGUAUGGUCUUCAUCAUCAUUCCGGCUGUGAUCAUCUGUUGCGUCCCGCUGUUUCUCUUUAAGUUGUUUGAGUUCUUCAGUGAUCUUUAAAUAGGCCUCUUGCUGUUGUAGUAUGAGUUGAUUCUGUCGUUCCAACUGGUCCUGGAGUCGCCUCAUUUGCUCCAUAGGAUCUGUAUUGUUUCCGUCUCUGCUCCUGGUGGUCACCAUAGGGAAUCUUCUACUUCGGCCCCACGGUGGGCGCCAAAAUGUUACGGUGUAAAUUUACUGGGACCGAAGUACUAACCUCAACGACGUCUUCUUCUGUGCUUCUGCCCGCUUUUCGUGAUUUCUGACCGUACGUCUUCUCGUCAACUUCAGCCGUCCGGUGAUCUCCUAGCUUUGACGGGGGGGAGGUACCUGAAAAGGCACUCCGACGCUCAAGUUAGGCGUGUAUAAGAGAUUCUCUGUUGGAAGAGAACUGAUGAGAGAUAUGUUGUAUGCAGUGUGAGUGAAGUGUAUUCAGAGAGCGUACCUNGUUUGGAAUCCUCUGGCCUUUAUUUAUAGGCUUUGGAUUGAUAUAAUAUUAACAGUAAUAACAGUAAUAUAAACAGAAUAAAAUAUAAUCUUACUUGACAUAUCUCUGUU